rnacentral:rRNA from 1 species
AAUCCCACACACACCUGUGAACCUAUUGUAAGGGCCCGUAAAAAAGGCCUUUACGUCUUUAUCACCUACCCGAAGUCUCAUAGAAUGUAAAUGUUAUGUCCUCGCCUUAAAAAAGCGUUGAUAAAAAAAAUUAUACAACUUUCAACAACGGAUCUCUUGGCUCUCGCAUCGAUGAAGAACGCAGCGAAAUGCGAUAAGUAAUGUGAAUUGCAGAUUUUCAGUGAAUCAUCGAAUCUUUGAACGCACCUUGCGCUCCUUGGUAUUCCGAGGAGCAUGCCUGUUUGAGUGUCAUUAAAUUCUCAAACUCUGAUUGAUUUGUUUCAAUCGGAGGUUUGGAUUUGGAGUGUGCCGGCGUCAAGUCGGCUCCUCUUGAAUGCAUCAGCGGAAUCCCAUUCAUUUCGGACGUCAGUGUGAUAAUCAUGUUGCGCUGUCUUUGCGAUCUUGAAAGCCCGCUCACAAUGGUCUUCGGACAAACCUCACAUAU